UACGUAGGGGGGCAAGCGUUGUCCGGAUUUAUUGGGCGUAAAGAGCGUGUAGGCGGCCAAACAGGUCAGCUGUGAAAACUCGAGGGCUCAACCUCGAGACGUCGGUUGAAACCGUUUGGCUAGAGUCCGGAAGAGGAGAGUGGAAUUCCCGGUGUAGCGGUGAAAUGCGCAGAUAUCGGGAAGAACACCCGUGGCGAAGGCGGCUCUCUGGGACGGUACUGACGCUG
rnacentral:rRNA from 1 species